GACGAACGCUGGCGGCGUGGAUUAGGCAUGCAAGUCGGACGGUAGGGCUUUAUCGUAAGAUAGAGUUUGAGAGUGGCGAACGGGUGAGUAACACGUAGGAAUCUACCCUUAAGACGGGGACAACCCAGGGAAACUUGGGCUAAUACCGGAUGAGAGUGCGAGAGAUUGCAUUUAAAAGGAUGGCGAAAGUUGUCGCUUAGGGAUGAGCCUGCGGUCUAUUAGUUAGUUGGUGAGGUAAGAGCUCACCAAGGCGAUGAUAGAUAGGCGGCCUUAACGGGUGGUCGCCCACACUGGGAUUGAGAUACGGCCCAGACUCCUACGGGAGGCAGCAGUCGAGAAUAGUCUACAAUGGCCGGAAGGCUGAUAGUGCGACGCCGCGUGAACGAGGGAGCCCUUCGGGGUGUAAACUCCUUUUCUCAGGGAAAAAGGAUGAUGGUACCUGAGGAAUAAGCCCCGGCUAACUACGUG
rnacentral:rRNA from 1 species